GGUGAUUUAAACACCGUGCGUUUUUCUGCAUAUCGGCCAGCAAUGAAGAUCCGCCGACUCCAGAAAGCGCUCUGUUGUGUUACAUUCAGAAGGGUACCAUGCUGCAAUUCGAGCCUGCUGUUUCCAGAGUAAUCCCAAUGUGGAAGAUUUUAAAAAGGGUUGGAGUCGAAGAAUCAGAGUGCUUUCUUUGAAAAUUGUCUUGAUCUGUCCAUCCAAGCGUCAACUGGAGGAAAAAUACAAGUGUCAGUACUAAAUCUAUCAUUGCUGAUACACUUGUAAACUGUAGGUUUAACUGGAGGUAAACUUUGUUUAAUAAACUAGCACACUCAAUAAACUGACAAAAAUUACAUACCAGAUGUUUACUGUCUUCUCAUAAUCUCUGUGAUGUCUGGUGAGGGUGCAAGUGAGAAGGCUCUCUGCCAGUAAGUUUUAGUUCACGCAAAGUUGCAUCAUUACUGAAGUUAUUUAUGCUGUAAAUGAAGGAGAACAGUGAUGUGUAUAUCCUGUGCAUUAUGUUCCUAUUAUCGAGUGUGUGUUUUUUGUGUGUGUGGACCUAUUGAUCAACUGGAAUUUUUGAUUAUUCAGCACAUUCCUGGGACCACA